AGAGAGAUAGACCUGGCUGCAUGAAAGAGGAAAAGGAUAUCCAUUCGCUUUCUUCCCCCAGUUCAAGGAUGUAAGAAACUGCACCAGUCACCUACACUAUGAAAGAAGUCAACAGCUCCUCAGUGUCAGACAAAUCAUUAUGUGGGCCCUGGAGAAUGUGAACAAUGUGCUCUCUAUCUCACUCAAUCACACCCUACAGCUGUGCUGAGACAUCCUUAACUCUUAACACACUCCAGAGGGGAGGCAGAAAUCAGGAAGGGAAAGGAGAGCGAGAGAGGAAAGAAAAAGACUCACAGCUCCACCUUGCAAACGACAAAAAAGGAUUGUGCUAAAAUGACUGAAGAGCAACCAAGUGGGAGCCGGCACCGCAGCCCAUCACACGCUUGCCAGUGAGGAGGAAAGCCCCACCCCCGCAAUGGAGAUGAAGACAGACCUUUGUUAGAGGCCUACAGUUUCUCAGUAUGCUGGCUGAGAUGAGGCCUGAGAGAGAAAUAUAGUUCUAUUGCUAACCCAGCUUGGUUUCAAAC